GCUGGGUGUGGUAGUGCACACCUGUAAUCCCAGCUACUCAGGAGGCUGAGGCAGGAGAAUUGCUUGAACCUGGGAGGCAGAGGUUGCAGUGAGCCAAGAUCGCAUCACUGCAUGCCCAGCCUGGGUGACAGAGCAAGACUCUGUCUCAA
ensembl:misc_RNA Metazoa_SRP Metazoan signal recognition particle RNA